CAGAAAACUUUGAAGAGGAGAAUUUUGCACAAAAUCGCAGGAGAAGUGCAAAUACUAACAAUGAAGAGAAUGAUGAUUCUGCAGAAUCAAAUAAUCAUCGAGUGCAAAGUGAUGAUGUAAUACUAAAUGAAUCUCGACAAGAAGGAUGAAAUUGUUCAAGUCAAACAAGCAAACCCUUCACUUUCUGACAUUGAGAUAGUUGAGAAAAU